UCCCUGGUGGUCCAGUGGUUAGGACUCCACGCUUCCACCGCAGGGGGCCCAUGUUUGAUCCCUGGCUGGGGAA
rnacentral:tRNA from 1 species